AGUGAACGCUGGCGGUAGGCCUAACACAUGCAAGUCGAACGGCAGCACAGUAAGAGCUUGCUCUUACGGGUGGCGAGUGGCGGACGGGUGAGGAAUACAUCGGAAUCUACUUUUUCGUGGGGGAUAACGUAGGGAAACUUACGCUAAUACCGCAUAUGACCUACGGGUGAAAGCAGUGGAUCUUCGGACCUUGCGCGAUUGAAUGAGCCGAUGUCGGAUUAGCUAGUUGGCGGGGUAAAGGCCCACCAAGGCGACGAUCCGUAGCUGGUCUGAGAGGAUGAUCAGCCACACUGGAACUGAGACACGGUCAAGACUCCUAAGGGAGGCAGCAGUGGGGAAUAUUGGACAAUGGGCGCAAGCAUGAUCCAGCCAUACCGCGUGGGUGAAGAAGGCGUUCGGGUUGUAAAGCCCUUUUGUUGGGAAAGAAAAGCAGCAGGUUAAUACCACGCUGUUCUGACGGUACCCAAAGAAUAAGCACCGGCUAACUUCGUG
rnacentral:rRNA from 1 species